AUUUUUUUUUCUUUUCCUUUUUCCUUUUUCUUUUUCUUUUUAAUUUCUUUAAAACCUUCGUUUCUUCCCCCUCCUCACACCCGAGCCCGACGCCGUCUCCCUUCUUCCUCCUUGCCCUAACCGCCGGCGGCGGUUACUUCUCCCGAGCCUCUUCUCUUCUUCUCCGGCCCUGCCCAAGCGCCGGCGAGCGCAAGCCAUUGCCGGCGAUCCAUCCUCUGCCCUAGCCUUGCCGUGGAGUUCCUAGCGCCGUCGCCGCAAAUCACCGCCGCCCGAUCGCCUGCCCUAGCCACCCGACGUCGACCACAGAAGCCGACGCCGACCCCAAUCGCCGGUGCCCUAGAGCCGAUCACCGUGCAUCACCCUUUCUUCCUCUGCCCUGGUGUGAGUUCACUGCCGAUUUGCUGUGCCGCCGCCGAGCCGAGCAUCUCCACCGACGCACGAGCAGUGCCGGCGACCCUUCCUCUGCCCUAGACAACCUGCAGUGCCGGCGCUGUCAUCUGUGCCCUAGCGUCUCCGCCGACGCCAAGCAGUGCUGUUAUCUCUCCGGGUUGUGGACAGAGGCAAAGCAAUCCGAGACUAGCCUCUUGGUGAUCCCAAUCUGCUGCCCAACACCAUUGUCUUUCCCUCUUCAUUCCUCCGGCAGCCGGUUUCACUACCACCAGCAGUAGAUUUUGUAUUGUACUACCAUCACUGAAGAAGAGGAAGUGGAAACAGGGAGGAAGCAAUUGUAAAACCUCUGUGGCCGGAUUGUACCCUUGACCACCUACUUGAGUUUGGGACUUUGACGCGAGACGAGUAUCUCGGAGUCAGAUCGGAC